GUGAGUAACACGUGGGCAAUCUGCCCUGCACUCUGGGACAAGCCCUGGAAACGGGGUCUAAUACCGGAUAUGACCUGGUGAGGCAUCUCAUCGGGUGGAAAGCUCCGGCGGUGCAGGAUGAGCCCGCGGCCUAUCAGCUUGUUGGUGGGGUGAUGGCCUACCAAGGCGACGACGGGUAGCCGGCCUGAGAGGGCGACCGGCCACACUGGGACUGAGACACGGCCCAGACUCCUACGGGAGGCAGCAGUGGGGAAUAUUGCACAAUGGGCGAAAGCCUGAUGCAGCGACGCCGCGUGAGGGAUGACGGCCUUCGGGUUGUAAACCUCUUUCAGCAGGGAAGAAGCGAAAGUGACGGUACCUGCAGAAGAAGCGCCGGCUAACUACGUGCCAGCAGCCGCGGUAAUACGUAGGGCGCAAGCGUUGUCCGGAAUUAUUGGGCGUAAAGAGCUCGUAGGCGGCUUGUCACGUCGGAUGUGAAAGCCCGGGGCUUAACCCCGGGUCUGCAUUCGAUACGGGCAGGCUAGAGUUCGGUAGGGGAGAUCGGAAUUCCUGGUGUAGCGGUGAAAUGCGCAGAUAUCAGGAGGAACACCGGUGGCGAAGGCGGAUCUCUGGGCCGAUACUGACGCUGAGGAGCGAAAGCGUGGGGAGCGAACAGGAUUAGAUACCCUGGUAGUCCACGCCGUAAACGUUGGGAACUAGGUGUG
rnacentral:rRNA from 1 species